rnacentral:rRNA from 1 species
AUUGAACGCUGGCGGCAGGCCUAACACAUGCAAGUCGAACGAGUGGCGGACGGGUGAGUAAUGUCUGGGAAACUGCCCGAUGGAGGGGGAUAACUACUGGAAACGGUAGCUAAUACCGCAUACCAUCGGAUGUGCCCAGAUGGGAUUAGCUAGUAGGUGGGGUAACGGCUCACCUAGGCGACGAUCCCUAGCUGGUCUGAGAGGAUGACCAGACACACAGAAACAGAGACACGGUCCAGAGUCCAACGGGAGGCAGCAGUGGGGAAUAUGGCAAAAUGGGCGCAAGCCAGAGGGAGCCAUGCCGGGUGUAUGAAGAAGGACUUCGGGUUUUAAAGUACUUUGAGCGAGGAGGCGUUACUCGCAGAAGAAGCACCGGCAAACACCGUGCCAGCAGCCGCGGUAAUAC